GUGCUUGCUUUGGCAGCACAUAUCCUAAAGUUGGAGUGAUACAGAGAAGAUUGGCAUGGCCCCUGUGCAUGGAUGACACACAAAGAGUUCAUGAGUGGUUCAUUCAA
ensembl:snRNA U6 U6 spliceosomal RNA